rnacentral:lncRNA from 1 species
GCGGGCUCCAAGGCUGAGAUAAACUCGAAGGCACCUGCCCAUCCCAGGCGUCCCUCUCAUCCUCCCUCAUGAGGUAACUCACAGGCAACAGAAAGAGCAGUUGGACGCUCCAGGCUAGAGAUCACUGGGCAGAACCACCUUUCAGAUGGACAAGCCCGGCGAGCCGCCAGCAAAGGUCCAGUCCAUGGGCUAAAUAGAGAGGUGACAUCAAACAGUUGGGCAGACAGCUGUCGGAAGCCACCUCUGUGCACUCUGGGAAAGCAGUUGGUCCUCCUCCAGUAACACUCAGGAGCGAGCUCGCCCUGAAAGGUCAUUGGCUACAAAAUAGUAAGCUUGCUCUGAGGCGCCUGAGCCGAGACAGUUGCUUGGCGUCCCGCUAAUGCUGGUUUUACUCAAGAGCUGAUUGUUUUUUGAGGUAACCAUGGAUUAUUAUGACGACCAACGUUUGCUAUUUGUUGAGUGUCCAUGGUGUAAACAGAAAGGGGAACGUGUCCGUCUUCAGGAAGAAGCUAGCAAACACACUGCAUGUGGGCUGGGAAGGGGAUACGGAUGGUCCCACAACAGCCCUUGGCGGCCUCGCAUGUCACACAAACCCACUCCUCAUUCCUCACAUGGGUCAGGGAGGCGCUGGGACCUUCAAGGGCAGAGAGCGGGCCACGCGGGCUUAAAUCACUGCCAAGAUGGAAAACUCCCUUACAGUAAACGCAUGUAACUACAGACAAUGAACAUUCCAAAAAACGAUGCUCCUUCCAAAAGACUCCAAAAAAUCACUCCAGCCAGACUCUUCAUAGCACCAUGGAGUUUCCCGAAAAGCAGAAGGAACUCUAAUUAGUCUUCUCAUCCAGUCUCUCUGUCCUCUGCACGACAUUCCUGUCAGACAAAUUUUAGCACCUGCUGGAACCGUCCCAAGGGCUGGGAUCCCUCAAUUCUGAGAGGCAGGUUUAUGAGCAAUGCCCUGCUUUGGUUCUGUCACUGUUCAAUAGGAAAUCUUAGAGCGGUAAGGACACAGACUAGAGCAAGAAAGAGAAGUAAGAAAGAAUCAAAUUCAGCAGGGUCUUGUAACUUAAACAAUACCAUAAACAAAGUAAAAAAUAAUAAUAAACUGGUAAAAAAAAUUUGCAAUACAUAGAAGAAUGAGGAUAAUUUCCCUAAUACACAAAAGCAUAUAUAUACAGCAAUUUGAAAAAAAUCCAAUUAAUAUAAAUAAGAAAAGGCUAUGAAUAGGCAGUUCAAAGGAAAAAAUAAUCAACAGAUAAAUGAAGAGUUUGUAUCUCAUACAUAAAGAAAUGCAAAUUCAAACAAUAAAAUGCUGUUUUUCACC